AUGGAAUUUGGCUGCUCCCAGGUGCUUGAUGUGUGCUCUAAGCAAGUCCCAAGACUUGCUGGAAGCAAGAGGGAAAGGCUGCAUCCUGGAUUUUUUGCCUAUUUCUGGCUCUGCAGUCCUGCAUGUAGCACGUGGCUUAUCCUUUCUAGAGCAAGCCAUCGCACACGGGUUAGAAACAACAUACGGUCCCUGGAUACAAUGGGCAUUAAUUUUGUAGUGUGCUCCAGCUUUGAGGACUGGCAGGACGGAGACCAGCUUAAGGGAGGUUGUAAUUGGACUGAUGGAUUUGUUCCCACAUGGCUGUUACCACUGGAUCCCACUGAGAGGGUGAUAAAAUGCAAAAGGGGCUGCUUACACGCACAACACUGUUAGAGACUGCAUCUUUUCUCCUUUUCACCAGAAAGGUGAGACAUUUUUGCUGAUACUCAGUUAAGAAAACAUGCCAAUUCCCUGUCAGUUCUCUGUGCCGUCACUUUGCCAAGCACCUUCUUUCUUGUGCUUAAAUCUGGUAAGCUCUUCACGCAAAAAUAUUCUAUCCAUACUUCUACAUGAGCCCUUACUCAUGUAUUUUUGCCUGGAACCCAUUAGUGGGAGCAUCGCGUGCUUGCUAUCGGAGCAGAGAACAGCUCCCUCCAUGUGGUUUCUGCUGCUGAGCACUGAACAGCGACAGGGAGCACGGGCAGUAGUGCCUUCUGUAAGACAUUUAUACAUCUUCAGCCAUUUCUUUACAGCUGUUUUCUCUCUUAGGCAAACUGUAAACAAAGAUCCUUUUUCUGCUCCUUAACAAGUGUAAAAAGUUCAGUGCUGUCUCUAAUAUUUGCUCUUAAUUCCCUACAUCUUGUUCUGAAUUUAGUCACGGUGUUGUUGGUAGCUUUUGCAAUGGCAUUAGGACAACCUAGGAGUAUACCUGGAUUUACCGGUGGGGGGGGGGGGUCAUUAUUCCUGGGUGAAGACUGGGUAUGCUUAAUCUCAAAACUGAUGCAGAGGAAAAUAAAUCACUGAAAUGAGCACUGGCA
rnacentral:lncRNA from 1 species